AGUCGAACGGAAAUGAUUGAAGUUUACUUUGGUCAUUUUAGUGGCGGACGGGUGAGUAACACGUGAGCAACCUGCCUUUCAGAGGGGGAUAACGUUUGGAAACGAACGCUAAUACCGCAUAACGUAUACGGAUGGCAUCGUCUGUAUACCAAAGGAGGAAUCCGCUGAAAGAUGGGCUCGCGUCCGAUUAGCUAGAUGGUGAGGUAACGGCCCACCAUGGCGACGAUCGGUAGCCGGACUGAGAGGUUGACCGGCCACAUUGGGACUGAGACACGGCCCAGACUCCUACGGGAGGCAGCAGUGAGGGAUAUUGGGCAAUGGGGGCAACCCUGACCCAGCGACGCCGCGUGAGGGAAGACGGUCUUCGGAUUGUAAACCUCUGUCUUUGGGGACGAAAAAGGACGGUACCCAAGGAGGAAGCUCCGGCUAACUACGUGCCAGCAGCCGCGGUAAUACGUAGGGAGCGAGCGUUGUCCAGAAUUACUGGGUGUAAAGGGAGCGUAGGCGGGAAGGCAAGUUGGAUGUGAAAACUGUGGGCUCAACCUACAGACUGCAUUCAAAACUGUUUUUCUUGAGUGAAGUAGAGGCAAGCGGAAUUCCUAGUGUAGCGGUGAAAUGCGUAGAUAUUAGGAGGAACACCAGUGGCGAAGGCGGCUUGCUGGGCUUUUACUGACGCUGAGGCUCGAAAGUGUGGGGAGCAAACAGGAUUAGAUACCCUGGUAGUCCACACCGUAAACGAUGAUUACUAGGUGUGGGCGCGAUAAGCGUCCGUGCCGGAGUUAACACAAUAAGUAAUCCACCUGGGGAGUACGGCCGCAAGGUUGAAACU
rnacentral:rRNA from 1 species